rnacentral:rRNA from 1 species
CGUAGGUGCAAGCGUUGUCCGGAAUUAUUGGGCGUAAAGAGCUCGUAGGCGGUCUGUCGCGUCGGCUGUGAAACUCGGGCUCAACCCCGAGCCUGCAGUCGAUACGGGCAGACUAGAGUGCUGUAGGGAGACUGGAAUUCCUGGUGUAGCGGUGAAAUGCGCAGAUAUCAGGAGGAACACCGGUGGCGAAGGCGGGUCUCUGGGCAGUAACUGACGCUGAGGAGCGAAAGCGUGGGAGCGAACAGGAUU